rnacentral:rRNA from 1 species
UAGUCAUAUGCUUGUCUCAAAGAUUAAGCCAUGCAUGUCUAAGUAUAAAUAAUUUUAUACUGUGAAACUGCGAAUGGCUCAUUAAAUCAGUUAAAGUUUACUUGAUAGUACCUUACUAAUUGGAUAUCCGUAGUAAUUCUAGAGCUAAUACAUGCGACAAGCCCCGACUUCGGAAGGGGUGUCUUUAUUAGAUUAAAACCAACCAGCUUCGGCUGCCUUUUGGUGAUUCAUGAUAACGUUUCGAAUCGCACAAUUUAUUGGCGAUGGUUCAUUCAAUU